rnacentral:misc_RNA from 1 species
AGGGUACAGAGGAUAAGAUUGUUCUGUAUUUUACUAGUUUAAGAGGAAUCAGGAAGACUUAUGAAGAAUGCUGCACAGUGCGAACGAUCUUUAGAGGUUUUCGGGUGUGUGUGGAUGAAAGAGAUGUAUCUAUGGAUUCAUCAUAUAGGAAAGAGUUGCAAAGCGCUUUGGAUGGAAAAGUGAUUAGCUUGCCUCAGGUUUUUAUUGGAGGAAAGUACAUUGGUGGUGCAGAAGAGAUUAAGCAACUUCAUGAGGCUGGAGAACUGGCUGAACUCGUGGAAGGCUUUGCAGUAAAGCAUUCUGGUUUUGUUUGUGGAAGCUGUGGCGAUGCAAGGUUCGUACCCUGCCCAAAUUGCAAUGGAAGUCGAAAAGUAUUUGAAGAGGAGGAAGGGAAGUUGAGGAGGUGCCCCAGUUGCAACGAAAAUGGACUGAUUCGAUGCACUAGCUGUUGCCCGUGAUUAUUGAUUCUCAUUUGCCAUGUACAUGCUUCCACUAUUUUAUUCGAGGUCUAUGAAUUUAUGUUACUACUUUUGUACUGAUAUUGAAAUGUGCAGUGUCCUCUUGUAGACCGAUUUCAAGUGUCCAUAUACUCUAGCCUAUGAAAAUUUCGUGUUCAUUUUCUUUUUGAACAACUCGAAAGUAAUAAAAAUAUCUGCAGUAUGUUCUUCUUUGCUUGCCCA